rnacentral:rRNA from 1 species
CAGCAGCCGCGGGAAUACGGAGGGGGCUAGCGUUGUUCGGAAUUACUGGGCGUAAAGCGCACGUAGGCGGCUUUGUAAGUUAGAGGUGAAAGCCUGGAGCUCAACUCCAGAAUUGCCUUUAAGACUGCAUCGCUUGAAUCGCGGAGAGGUGAGUGGAAUUCCGAGUGUAGAGGUGAAAUUCGUAGAUAUUCGGAAGAACACCAGUGGCGAAGGCGGCUCACUGGACGCGUAUUGACGCUGAGGUGCGAAAGCGUGGGGAGCAAACAGGAUUAGAUACCCGGGUAGUCCCUGUCUCUUAUAA